CCUAGCAACAGACAUUUAUGAGCAGGCUGAGUGUUUGUGUGUGUAAAUAGUGUUAGAAAUGCAAAGCUUGUGUGUCUGGUGAUGAGGUGACAAGUUCUGUUUUAAUUAUGGUAAUUGGGGACACAAAGGCAGGAGGAAAGAUGUUGUCUAAAGCCAAGGUCAGAGAUGGACUGCCCAGGAAGACUGAAGGGUUCUGCAACAGGGUUUUGUGCACUCCAGUUCCUAAUACAGACAGACCCCAAGUUAUGUACAAGAUAGAUUUACUUUUUGGCAAUUUGGAACAGGUGUAUUUUAAGUGUUAUUCCAGCCACUUGUGGAAACAAGGAUUGGUGAUAAAGCUUCAAUGGAGAUCCCUUUUCCCCCAGGAUACUUCUUCCAGGAGUUAUUUUUCCUUCCUAGGUGUAGAUUUCUCUUAGUUCCCGUUGUCUCAACCUGGUUCUUAACAAUGAGUUGUUUGUAAGUCAGAUGUUUGUAACUCUAGGUUUGCCUGUACCUUAUAUACAUCAAUUUAUCCACUGAUGCAGACUGGCCUGUUUGCCCAAUGUAGAAUGUUGAAGGGCAUUGUUAAUAGAGGAUGGCAUUUAUCACUUUAGUUUAGAUUAGUGAUUCUCAACCUGUGGUUCCCAGAUGUUUUGGACCAGAUGUUUUGGUAAAUUGGCUGGGAUUUCUGGGAAUUGUAGGUCAAAACACCUGGGGACCCACAGGUUGGCCCUAAACCAUUUAAGACUUUGUGAGUAAAAACCAGUGCUUUGAACUGAAUUCAGAAUCAAACUGUAAUCCAUUGCAGUUGGUUCAAUAUCAGCAACACAUGGUCUCUGAAGCUCAUGUCCAGCAAUUUGCACUAAGCGUAGCUUCUGAACACUUUUCAAGAGGAGUCCUAUGACAUUAUUGUUCUUGAGUGUCUUCAUGUCCUUUCUGACUCAUGGCAAUACUAAGACCAAUCUCUCAUUGGUAAAAUUUGUUCAGUGGGGGUUGUCUUUGCCUUCCUUUAAGGCUGAGAGAGUGUAAUUUACCUAACGUCAUCUAGUUGUUUUUCAUAUCCAAUUGGGGAUUCAAAGCAUGUUCUCCAGAGCCAUAGUCCAGUACUCAAACUGCUGUACCAUGCUGCAUUAUGUACAUUACAGAAAUCUAAUUGAGAGUUAUUAAUAGUCUGGCCCUAUUUGGGGAAAAACUGAAGCUUUUUCCUUGGCAGGGGAAUACUGAAAUUCAUUGUGAAAGAGAAAUACGCAGAGUAAAGUAAGUGCUCAUUUUAUUGUACUGUAAUUUCUUCCCCUGGUUUUACAUCACGUACAUCUACUUUGUGGGAAUCUGGGGGGAGUUGUCUGUGGGUACUUGCAUGGAACAUACUUGAUUUUACACAGAUACUGCUUUUGAGAUACAGCCUUUCAAGACGCAAUAGCAGGCUCAGUAAAUCCCACCACAAUCCAUGUGUUGAAAGGCAUGCUCACCCUGGUGUAUGAGUAAGUGAAUUCAACUGCGUUUGUGGACAUUUUUCAAAGAUCCAUACUUUUCAGUCAUGCCCAUUCACUUGCAUAUAACUCCAUAAAGAAAAAAACAAAAGAAUCUGGUGGUUUUGCUCUCAAUGAUGGGAAAGCAAAAACCACGUGCAUGCUCUUGUUAGUAAUCACAGAGACCACAAAUUGGAUAAUUUCACUUAAUGGGAUGAUGAUGAUGAUAAGGAAAGAAUUGGUGGUGGUGAUUGAUUACCAGGAGGAGAAGAAUAGCUUGGAAGAGUUACUUUUGGACUACAACUCCCAGGAUCUCCCAGCCAGAAGCUAUAGUCCAUUUUCCCCCCAAGAUGUAGUGGAGGAGCACAGCUUGACUCGGUAACUUUUACAGAAUUCAUAGAGGACUAUCUCCCACUCCAGUCUUUUCCCAUAAGAAAGUUGUUUUCUGGUCCAGUUCAAUUCCUUGUAAUUUCCUUCAAAUGUUUACAAACUGCAUCUGAAUCCAAACAUCAAUACAGUCAUCUAAAGAAUAAUUAUGUAGGGAUGGACAGCUCCCAAAGUUUCAAUAUCACUUGCAUUUGGAUUUUCAAAACCCUCCCAAUUCUAAUAUGAACGAUGUUUGUACCUUUGGAUUAAUGAUGUUCUGGAACACAAUUCUCAUCCAAAUGCACUAGACAAAUUCAUUAUGUAGAACUAUUCCCAAUAUAAAGAGGAUCAUGUUGUACCCAGCUGCCAUAUAGUUGAAGAGGCUGCCACUAAAAUUUUGGAUAGCAUUCUGUUCAGCACCUACAGUGUAGGAAGCUGGACUUACAGCAUCAUCAAUUUUGGAAUGUUUACGAUCAUUAUACCAUUACAACAACCAAAGAAUUCAAAAUACAAAACCUAUUUCAGAAGCUAGCCAGCCCUGCCAACACAGGCAUUUCUGAGGUGCUGAGUGGUGAGUGAAAAAGCAGCCAGUCUUCUCCCAGAAGCAAAACAGUUUGAUUCUCAGUAACAGAUCUGAUCUGUAAACUGCUGUUCUGCCAGGAGUGGACCAGAUGCCUCUUCACUCAUAGUCACACUCAUCAGAGCUUUGGGAAUCCCUACGUAAAUGAGACUGCCUGGCUUCUAAAAUAGGUUUUGAGGCGUCACAUCAGGAGACAUAGCUAGGAGGGUGUGGACACAAAAUCUUGGUUAAGGUUACAGUUUUGACCCAGUAUAAUAAAUAUGGUGAAAAGCCGGGCUGCAGUUAAGCAUCAAGAAAACCAAGAAAACCAGACUGAUUGAUAACUGGCAAAUAGAGGGAGAAAACAUGAAGGCAGUGACAGACUUUAUAUUUCUAGGCGUGAAGAUCACUGCAGAUGAAGACUGCAUCCAGGAAAUCAGAAGACAUUUACUUCUUGAGAGGAGAGCAAUGACCAACCUCGAUAAAAUAGUGAAAAGCCUAGACAUCACACUGGCAAUGAAGGUCCGCAUAGUUAAAGCAAUGGUAUUCCUCAUAGUAACCUAUGGAUGUGAGAGCUGGAACAUAAGGAAGGCUGAACGAAGGAAGAUAGAUGCCUUUGAACUCUGGUGCUGGAGGAAAAUCCUGAGAGUGCCUUGGACCGCAAGAAGAUCCAACUAGUCCAUCCUCCAGGAAAUAAUGCCCGACUGCUCACUGGAGGAAAGGAUAUUGGAGGAAAAGUUAAAGUAUUUUGACCACAUCAUGAGAAGACAGGAAAGCUUGGAAAAGAUCAUGAUGCUGGGGAAAAUGGAAGGAAAAAGGAAGCGAGGCUGAACAAGGGUGAGAUGGAUGGAUGGUAUCCUUGAAGUGACUGGCUUGACCUGGAGGCGGCAACGGCCGACAGGAAGCUCUAGUGUGGACUGGUCCAUGAGGUCACAAAGAGUCGAAAACAACUGCAUGAAUGAAAAAGAAGACAUAAAGAGAAAAUGGGCAAACUCCAGCAGACCAGAGGAUAAUCCAACAAACCUAUAAAUUACAUUUUCUCCCACAAAUGCCCCCCCCCUGCCAAACUCUCUGGUUCUUUUGAUUCCUAAAAUAAGGGCUGAGCUCCCCACGGUUUGUGAGAUCUAAAUCUACAUUGGUAUAAUUAUACAGUAGUUGCACAGCACCACACUUCUGUUGAAUAGUGGCAUUUUGCAACCAAUUGUGUAUUUGUCAAUGUACUUACUCAUCAUUAUACAAUAAGGAAUGCACAGAGGUUGUUUCUCCAGUCCCAGUGAAUUAACAAGUGCAUUGAAGCCAGCGAUGAACAGAAAGUACAAUGACAUGAUUAAAAAUAUAGAAGUGUAUAACUCAGGACCGGCCCAAGGGAAUCUUCAGGGGUAUGCAAAAAAAAUUUUGCGCCCCCCCCACCGCGCCGCGGGAGGUGUGGUCAGAUCUGGCCCCGCCUCCCACACCACGCGCGGGUGCCCUGACCCCGCCCCCACGGCAUGGGGCAGCGUAGGAGGCGUGGCCAGCCCCGCUUCCCGCGGCGGGCACCCUGUCCCUACGGCAGGCGCCGCAGGAGGCGGGGCCAGACUUGACCACGCCUCCCGCAUCGCGCGGCCCUGCCUCCCACAGCGCGGGAGGCAGGGCCAGGACGCCGGAGGCGGGGCCAAGUGUGGCCACGCCUCCCAGGGGCUCAAUAGCACCCCUGGGAACAUGGCGCCCAACGCGGGGGCGUGGCUAGCGUCCCGUGUUGGGCCGGGCCUGGUAUAACUGGAAGAGGCUACAAGAGCCAUCUAGUUCAACUGCUACUAUGCAGGAAUACACAAUGAAAGCACUCCCAACAGUUGUUCAUGAAAAAAAAAACUUCAAAGGAAGAUACUCCAGCACACUCCAAGAAAGCAUAGUCCUCUGUUUAACAGAUCUUGCUUCCAGGAAGUUCUUCCUAAUGUUAGGUGAAUUCUCUUUUUCUUGUAAUUUGAUUCUCUUGUUCUAUGUCCUAGUCUCUGGAGCAGCAGAAAAACCUGCUUGAUCUUCAAUAUGACAUCACUUCAAUUUUUUAAAAAAUGCUGUCAUGUCCCUUCUUAAUUUUCAUCUCCAGGAUAAACUUACCCAGCUCCCUAAACUGUUCCUCAUAGGACUUGGCUUCCAGAUCUUUGAACAUUUUGGUUGUCUUUCUCUGGACAUGUUCCAGUUUGCCAAUGUCCUUCUUGACUUGUGGUGCCCAGGCCUGGACACGGUAUUCUAGGUGAUUACCAAUCUAAUUCUCUCUCAUCCUCUCUCCCUUUCUUUUUCCACUUCUCAAGUGGGAAGCAUCUUUCACUAGUUCUCCAUAUGGCCAGCAAAAUCUUCCACACCCUGAUCUAAAUUUCUGAAAGCCAUGGAUUCCUGAGAAAUCAAAUGAGGCUGAAUGGUGAGUCAGCUGACAGCUGUUGUUCGUUCCAAGCCAGGACUGCUUCCAAGAUCCAGCUGUGGUUAGCUCACCUCUGAGUUCAUAAAUGGGGAAUCUGUGUGUGGGGGGCCAAGCGAUUGGUAUAUGAUUUAUAAAGGAGCAGGCAGAGUGGAAAGAAACCACUUCAGACACGACUAUCAGGAGGACAGCUAAGUGAAAUCAGAUGGGUGCUGCUGACUCAAGUUUGGUCUGUUGAGAAAGUGGGGGAAUCCCUCCAAAUGUAAACCUUCUUAGGAAGAUUUAGAAGCUCACCUCCCCCUAUUUCCUGCCUAUCACAUUGGAUCAUCAUGACAGAGUGGUGUUUUGCCUCUGUUUUUCUGACCAGAAGCAUAAUCAAGCAGUUUCCAUCCAUGCCUUUUCCCCCUGAAUACUUGCCAUAAACUAGUAUCUGAUGGCUCACAGAGUGGCACCAAUUUGAGUAGCACUGCCUUAUAUAACCAGGGUUUGAUGCAACAGAACUAGGAAUUGGCUCCAGAAUUAAGACAUCUAGAAGCUGUAAUCCCAAGAAGCUUUGAGGGACAUAUUGAGAAAGAACAAAGAUUUUUCAUGACAAAGAUCCUAUAACAAUGACUUCUUUUUGUUAUUUUUCUUAUUGUAUAAUAUUUUAAAAUCCAGUGGCACAUGUGGGAUGUCGAGUUGGGAUAGGUGCAUGAUUUAUAGUUUUUCCAAUCACUUCCUCCCUGCAUAUGCUGCACACUAGAUUGGAUGCCUCAGGGCAAGCCAAACUAAACCCAUACAUAGCAGAGUGCUUAUCAGUUGUCAGCAGAGUGUAACUGCACCGUCUGACCUUGUGCUGAUCACUGUUUAGAAAAACUCUGAUUCAAUUUUCAUCCAAACUCACAGGAGGCAUUUAAUCUUGACAUACAGAGAUCAAGAUCCCUGACGAUCACCUAUCAGUCAAUACAGCGAUAUACAAUAUGUAGGCAAACAGAUUCAUGAGCAAUAGAUAUCAGCAACAGAUGUACAGCAAGAGAUUUCUCAUGGCAAGAGAGAGAACAUGCAUCUUCUGCCAUGCUUGCUUGUCAUCAGCCAGGGACAAAAAUGUAUGAUGCAACCCUUGUCAUGAAUGUCACAUGGUUAUGACUCAGCCUGUCCCCUAAUUAAUACAUCACCACCCACUUAACCAUUCUGCAGGUAUGUGACCACAUAUCCAUUAGAACUGUAUUUUCCACAGUUUUACACAAUAAGACUACAUUCUUGUCUAACAAUACAUUAUCUAUCCAACAUAGGAAUCAUGCAUCCUCCCAGAUGUUGGCUGCAACUCCCAACAGACCUAGCCAGCACAUAUAAUGCUGAAGAAUAUUUGAAUUUGAAGUCUAACAAUUUCUGGAGGCCCACCAAUGAUUCCCAAUGCUGGCUAAUGUUAGGACCAUCCAGAAUCCAGGUCAUGAGAUAAUGGGACUUUAGUGGAAGAGGAGAAAGGAAACUGCCUUCCUGCAGACUCCAGUCCAUGUUGGGACCAGAAGAAGUUGAGAACUCUUGCUUCAUCCAAGCUUCUUGAAAUUUUUGCUGGUGCUUUGACAACCCUUGAUUUACUCAUCUUCUCCUGAUCGAGUUACUCUGUCUUAACCAGUUCUUCAUGCCCAAAUAAAUUACUGUUAAGGCUCUGCCUUCAUUCUU